AAAAUAGGUGCCCGUACCGCAAACCGACACAGGUAGUCAAGAUGAGAAUUCUAAGGUGAGCGAGCGAACUCUCGUUAAGGAACUCGGCAAAAUGACCCCGUAACUUCGGGAGAAGGGGUGCUCUUUAGGGUUAACGCCCAGAAGAGCCGCAGUGAAUAGGCCCAAGCGACUGUUUAUCAAAAACACAGGUCUCUGCUAAACCGUAAGGUGAUGUAUAGGGGCUGACGCCUGCCCGGUGCUGGAAGGUUAAGAGGAGUGGUUAGCUUCUGCGAAGCUACGAAUCGAAGCCCCAGUAAACGGCGGCCGUAACUAUAACGGUCCUAAGGUAGCGAAAUUCCUUGUCGGGUAAGUUCCGACCCGCACGAAAGGCGUAACGAUUUGGGCACUGUCUCAACGAGAGACUCGGUGAAAUCAUAGUACCUGUGAAGAUGCAGGUUACCCGCGACAGGACGGAAAGACCCCGUGGAGCUUUACUGUAGCCUGAUAUUGAAAUUCGGCACAGCUUGUACAGGAUAGGUAGGAGCCUUUGAAACGUGAGCGCUAGCUUACGUGGAGGCGCUGGUGGGAUACUACCCUAGCUGUGUUGGCUUUCUAACCCGCACCACUUAUCGUGGUGGGAGACAGUGUCAGGCGGGCAGUUUGACUGGGGCGGUCGCCUCCUAAAAGGUAACGGAGGCGCUCAAAGGUUCCCUCAGAAUGGUUGGAAAUCAUUCAUAGAGUGUAAAGGCAUAAGGGAGCUUGACUGCGAGACCUACAAGUCGAGCAGGGUCGAAAGACGGACUUAGUGAUCCGGUGGUUCCGCAUGGAAGGGCCAUCGCUCAACGGAUAAAAGCUACCCCGGGGAUAACAGGCUUAUCUCCCCCAAGAGUUCACAUCGAC
rnacentral:rRNA from 1 species